rnacentral:lncRNA from 1 species
AGAUUUAUACAAGUAGAUUGUUGAUAUAGGAUGGAGCACUUGGAAUCCAUGUUGGAUAGAUAAUGAUAGAGAAUAGAGUACUUUGAUAUCCGUGGGGAUAGAUGAAUGAUAAAGAAUGAAGUACUUUGAAAUAUAUGCAAGCGGAUGGAUGAUCGAGGAUGGAGCAUUUUGAGAUUUGUACAAAUAGAUAAAUAAUAGAGAAUAAAAUGCUUUAAGAUCUAUACAAACAAAUAAAUGGCAAAGAAUAUAGUGCUUUAAGAUUUAUGUAAGCUAAUGAAUGAUAGAGGAUGGAGCGCUUUGAGAUUUAUAUAGAUAAAUGGAUAAUAAAGGAUGAAGCACAUUGAGAUCUAUACCGAUGAAUGGAUAUAAAUGGAGUGCUUUGAGAUUUAUGCAAGUGGAUGAAUGAUAAAAAACAUAGUUCUUUAUGAUCUGUACUAAUAAAUGAAUGACAAAUGAUGAAUAUAAGAUUUAUGCAGAUGAAUGAACAAUAUAAAAUGGAGUGCUUUGAAAUCUGUGUAGGU